AUUGAACGCUGGCGGCAUGCCUUACACAUGCAAGUCGAACGGCAGCACGGGUGCUUGCCCCUGGUGGCGAGUGGCGAACGGGUGAGUAAUACAUCGGAACAUGUCCUCUAGUGGGGGAUAGCCAGGCGAAAGCAGGAUUAAUACCGCAUACGAUCUACGGCUGAAAGCGGGGGACCUUCGGGCCUCGCGCUAUAGGGUUGGCCGAUGGCUGAUUAGCUAGUUGGUGGGGUAAAGGCCUACCAAGGCGACGAUCAGUAGCUGGUCUGAGAGGACGACCAGCCACACUGGGACUGAGACACGGCCCAGACUCCUACGGGAGGCAGCAGUGGGGAAUUUUGGACAAUGGGCGAAAGCCUGAUCCAGCAAUGCCGCGUGUGUGAAGAAGGCCUUCGGGUUGUAAAGCACUUUUGUCCGGAAAGAAAUCCUUGGCCCUAAUACGGUCGGGGGAUGACGGUACCGGAAGAAUAAGCACCGGCUAACUACGUG
rnacentral:rRNA from 1 species